rnacentral:rRNA from 1 species
AUUGAACGCUGGCGGCAUGCCUUACACAUGCAAGUCGAACGGUAACAGGUCUUCGGAUGCUGACGAGUGGCGAACGGGUGAGUAAUACAUCGGAACGUGCCCGAUCGUGGGGGAUAACGAAGCGAAAGCUUUGCUAAUACCGCAUAAGAUCUACGGAUGAAAGCAGGGGACCGCAGGGCCUUGCGCGAACGGAGCGGCCGAUGGCAGAUUAGGUAGUUGGUGGGAUAAAAGCUUACCAAGCCGACGAUCUGUAGCUGGUCUGAGAGGACGACCAGCCACACUGGGACUGAGACACGGCCCAGACUCCUACGGGAGGCAGCAGUGGGGAAUUUUGGACAAUGGGCGAAAGCCUGAUCCAGCCAUGCCGCGUGCAGGAUGAAGGCCUUCGGGUUGUAAACUGCUUUUGUACGGAACGAAAAGACUCUGGUUAAUACCUGGGGUCCAUGACGGUACCGUAAGAAUAAGCACCGGCUAACUACGUG